rnacentral:rRNA from 1 species
UACGUAGGGGGCGAGCGUUGUCCGGAUUUAUUGGGCGUAAAGAGCUCGUAGGCGGUUUGGUAAGUUGGAUGUGAAAUCUCCAGGCUCAACUUGGAGGGGUCAUUCGAUACUGCCAUGACUAGAGUUCGGUAGGGGAGUGUGGAAUUCCUGGUGGAGCGGUGAAAUGCGCAGAUAUCAGGAGGAACACCGAUGGCGAAGGCAGCUCGCUGGGACGGUACUGACGCUGAGACGCGAAAGCGUGGGGAGCAAACAGG